UGAGUACGAGAUGCUACGGCGUCGAAGCAGUCUAGGUCAUACUUCCAAGAAAAGCUUGCACUGUCAUAAACGAAGAAUGCCUGUACCAUAACCGACACAGGUGGGUAGGUAGAGUAUACUAAGGGGCGCGAGAUAACUCUCUCUAAGGAACUCGGCAAAAUGACUCCGUAACUUCGGGAGAAGGAGUGCCUUAUUUUUAAGGUUGCAAUAACAAGAUCCAAGCAACUGUUUAUCAAAAACACAGGUCUCCGCUAAGUCGUAAGACGAUGUAUGGGGGCUGACGCCUGCCCAGUGCCAGAAGGUUAAAGAAGUUGGUUAGCAUUUGCGAAGCUGAUAACUGAAGCCCUGGUGAACGGCGGCCGUAACUAUAACGGUCCUAAGGUAGCGAAAUUCCUUGUCGGGUAAGUUCCGACCCGCACGAAAGGCGUAAUGAUUUGGAUACUGUCUCGGAGAGGGGCUCGGUGAAAUAGACUUGUCUGUGAAGAUGCGGACUACCUGCACCUGGACAGAAAGACCCUAUGAAGCUUUACUGUAACUUGAGAUUGAAAUUGGACUUUAUUUGCGCAGUAUAGGUGGGAGGCGUUGAGAAUAAUCUUGCGGGAUUAUCGGAGCCAUCAGUGAGAUACCACUCUUGUAAUGUCAGAUUUCUAACUUUGUAUCAUUAUCUGGUCAAAGAACAGUUUCAGGCGGGCAGUUUGACUGGGGCGGUCGCCUCCCAAAGGGUAACGGAGGCGCACAAAGGUUUCCUCUGAACGGGUAGAAAUCGUAUCUAGAGUGUAAAGGCAUAAGGAAGCUUGACUGUGAGACCUACAAGUCGAGCAGGGACGAAAGUCGGUCUUAGUGAUCUGACGGUGCUGAGUGGAAAGGCCGUCACUCAACGGAUAAAAGUUACUCUAGGAUAACAGGCUGAUCUCCCCCAAGAGUUCACAUCGACGGGGAGGUUUGGCACCUCGAUGUCGGCUCAUCGCAUCCUGGGGCGGUAGUACGUCCCAAGGGUUGGGCUGUUCGCCCAUGAAAGCGGUACGCGAGCUGGGUUCAGAACGUCGUGAGACAGUCCGGUCCAUAUCCGGUGUAGGCGUUAGAAUAUUGAAAGGAGCCUUCUCUAGUACGAGAGGACCGAGAAGGACAUACCUCUGGUGUGCCAGUUAUCGUGCCAACGGUAAACGCUGGGUAGCUAUGUAUGGAGUGGAUAACCGCUGAAAGCAUCUAAGUGGGAAGCCCACCUUAAGAUAAGUA
rnacentral:rRNA from 1 species